AACGAACGCUGGCGGCAGGCUUAACACAUGCAAGUCGAACGCAUCCUUCGGGGUGAGUGGCAGACGGGUGGGUAACGCGUGGGAACGUGCCCUUCAGUUCGGGAUAACCCAGGGAAACUUGGGCUAAUACCGGAUACGUGCGAGAGCAGAAAGAUUUAUCGCUGAAGGAUCGGCCCGCGUCUGAUUAGCUAGUUGGUGGGGUAAUGGCCCACCAAGGCGACGAUCAGUAGCUGGUCUGAGAGGAUGAUCAGCCACAUUGGGACUGAGACACGGCCCAAACUCCUACGGGAGGCAGCAGUGGGGAAUAUUGGACAAUGGGCGCAAGCCUGAUCCAGCCAUGCCGCGUGAGUGAUGAAGGCCUUAGGGUUGUAAAGCUCUUUCGUCCGGGACGAUAAUGACGGUACCGGAAGAAGAAGCCCCGGCUAACUUCGUGACAGCCGCCGCAGUAAUAC
rnacentral:rRNA from 1 species